rnacentral:tRNA from 1 species
UUAAUUGAAACCAAAUUAGAGGUAUAUCACUGUUAAUGAUAAAAUUGAAUAUAAAUAUAUAUUCCAAUUAGA